GGACCCGCACAAGUAGUGGAGCAUGUGGUUUAAUUCGAAGAUACGCGCAGAACCUUACCAACACUUGACAUGUUCGUCGCGACUUUAAGAGAUUAAAGUUUUCGGUUCGGCCGGACGAAACACAGGUGCUGCAUGGCUGUCGUCAGCUCGUGUCGUGAGAUGUUGGUUAAGUCCCGCAACGAGCGCAACCCUCACUUUUAGUUGCCAUCAUUAAGUUGGGCACUCUGAAAGAACUGCCGGUGAUAAGCCGGAGGAAGGUGGGGAUGACGUCAAGUCCUCAUGGCCCUUACAGGCUGGGCUACACACGUGCUACAAUGGCGAUGACAGUGGGCAGCGACCCCGCAAGGGUGAGCUAA
rnacentral:rRNA from 1 species